rnacentral:rRNA from 1 species
UUCAUCCGCCCGGGUACUACGAGCACAGCUUAAAACCCAAAGCCUUGGCGGUGUCUCAGACCCACCUAGAGGAGCCUGUUCUAGAACCGAUAACCCCCGUUAAACCUCACCACUUCUUGUUUUCCCCGCCUAUAUACCGCCGUCGUCAGCUUACCCUGUGAAGGCUUAACAGUAAGCAAAAUGGGCCCGCCCAAAAACGUCAGGUCGAGGUGUAGCGUACGAAGGGAAAGAAAUGGGCUACAUUUUCUACACAUUAGAAUAUUACGAAUGGUGCAUUGAAAUCACGCACCUGAAGGUGGAUUUAGUAGUAAAAAGCAAAUAGAGUGUCCCUUUGAACUAGGCUCUGAGACGCGCACACAC